rnacentral:rRNA from 1 species
UGGGGAAUUUUGGACAAUGGGCGAAAGCCUGAUCCAGCCAUGCCGCGUGAGUGAAGAAGGCUUUCGGGUUGUAAAGCUCUUUUAGUCGGAAAGAAAGAGUUGCAAUGAAUAAUUGUGGUUUAUGACGGUACCGACAGAAAAAGCACCGGAUAACUACGGGGCAGCAGCCGAGGGAAUACGUAGGGUGCGAGCGGUAAUCGGAAUUACUGGGCGUAAAGGGGGCGCAGGCGGUCUUGCAAGUCAGAUGUGAAAGCCCCGGGCUUAACCUGGGAAUUGCGUUUGAAACUACAAGACUAGAGUGCAGCAGAGGGGAGUGGAAUUCCAUGUGUAGCAGUGAAAUGCGUAGAGAUGUGGAAGAACACCUAUGGCGAAGACAGCUCCCUGGGUUGACACUGACGCUCAUGCACGAAAGCGUGGGGAGCAAACA